rnacentral:rRNA from 1 species
AAUCAUGUAAGAUUUUAAAAGUCGAACAGACUUAAAACUUAAACUUCUCCACUUAAUUUUAUCUUAAUUCAACAUCGAGGUCACAAACAUUUUUAUAAAUAUGAUCUUACCAAAAAUAUUAUGCUGUUAUCCCUAAGGUAAUUAAUUCUAAUUUUUAAACUUAUAAUCUUUUAUUCAAAUAUUAAUGUUUAAUUAAUUAUCAAAAUUUUAUUAAUCUAACUAUUCUCCCAAUAAAAUAUUUUAUAAUCAUUUAUUUAUUAAUUAAUUUAAAAUAAUUAUAAAAUAUAAAAUUCUAUAGGGUCUUCUCGUCCCAUAAUUCAAUUUAAGUAUUUUUACUUAAAAUAUAAAUUAUAAUAUCUUAAUCUAAGACAGUAUAAAUCUCAUCACUUCCUUCAUUCCAGUUCACAAUUAAUGAACAAAUUAUUAUGCUACCUUUGUACAGUCAAAUUACUGCAGCUAUUUAAAACCUAAUUCAUUGAGCAGAAAAAAUCUUAAAUUAUCA